rnacentral:rRNA from 1 species
GACGAACGCUGGCGGCGUGCCUAAUACAUGCAAGUAGAACGCUGAAGGAGGAGCUUGCUUCUCUGGAUGAGUUGCGAACGGGUGAGUAACGCGUAGGUAACCUGCCUGGUAGCGGGGGAUAACUAUUGGAAACGAUAGCUAAUACCGCAUAAUAGUAGAUGUCGCAUGACAUUUGCUUAAAAGGUGCAAUUGCAUCACUACCAGAUGGACCUGCGUUGUAUUAGCUAGUUGGUGAGGUAACGGCUCACCAAGGCAACGAUACAUAGCCGACCUGAGAGGGUGAUCGGCCACACUGGGACUGAGACACGGCCCAGACUCCUACGGGAGGCAGCAGUAGGGAAUCUUCGGCAAUAGACGGAAGUCUGACCGAGCAACGCCGCGUGAGUAAAGAAGGUUUUCGGAUCGUAAAGCUCUGUUGUAAGAGAAGAACGAGUGUGAGAGUGGAAAGUUCACACUGUGACGGUAUCUUACCAGAAAGGGACGGCUAACUACGUG